rnacentral:rRNA from 1 species
GGUUAAGCGACUAAGCGUACACGGUGGAUGCCCUGGCAGUCAGAGGCGAUGAAGGACGUGCUAAUCUGCGAUAAGCGUCGGUAAGGUGAUAUGAACCGUUAUAACCGGCGAUUUCCGAAUGGGGAAACCCAGUGUGAUUCGUCACACUAUCAUUAACUGAAUCCAUAGGUUAAUGAGGCGAACCGGGGGAACUGAAACAUCUAAGUACCCCGAGGAAAAGAAAUCAACCGAGAUUCCCCCAGUAGCGGCGAGCGAACGGGGAGGAGCCCAGAGCCUGAAUCAGUGUGUGUGUUAGUGGAAGCGUCUGGAAAGGCGCGCGAUACAGGGUGACAGCCCCGUACACAAAAAUGCACAUACUGUGAGCUCGAUGAGUAGGGCGGGACACGUGGUAUCCUGUCUGAAUAUGGGGGGACCAUCCUCCAAGGCUAAAUACUCCUGACUGACCGAUAGUGAACCAGUACCGUGAGGGAAAGGCGAAAAGAACCCCGGCGAGGGGAGUGAAAAAGAACCUGAAACCGUGUACGUACAAGCAGUGGGAGCCUCUUUAUGGGGUGACUGCGUACCUUUUGUAUAAUGGGUCAGCGACUUAUAUUCUGUAGCAAGGUUAACCGAAUAGGGGAGCCGAAGGGAAACCGAGUCUUAACUGGGCGUUAAGUUGCAGGGUAUAGACCCGAAACCCGGUGAUCUAGCCAUGGGCAGGUUGAAGGUUGGGUAACACUAACUGGAGGACCGAACCGACUAAUGUUGAAAAAUUAGCGGAUGACUUGUGGCUGGGGGUGAAAGGCCAAUCAAACCGGGAGAUAGCUGGUUCUCCCCGAAAGCUAUUUAGGUAGCGCCUCGUGAAUUCAUCUCCGGGGGUAGAGCACUGUUUCGGCAAGGGGGUCAUCCCGACUUACCAACCCGAUGCAAACUGCGAAUACCGGAGAAUGUUAUCACGGGAGACACACGGCGGGUGCUAACGUCCGUCGUGAAGAGGGAAACAACCCAGACCGCCAGCUAAGGUCCCAAAGUCAUGGUUAAGUGGGAAACGAUGUGGGAAGGCCCAGACAGCCAGGAUGUUGGCUUAGAAGCAGCCAUCAUUUAAAGAAAGCGUAAUAGCUCACUGGUCGAGUCGGCCUGCGCGGAAGAUGUAACGGGGCUAAACCAUGCACCGAAGCUGCGGCAGCGAC